rnacentral:tRNA from 1 species
AGGGGUAUGAUCAAUAGUAGAGCAUGUGCUUAGCAUGCACGAGGUCCUGGGUUCAAUCCCCAGUACCUCCA